rnacentral:rRNA from 1 species
AUUGAACGCUGGCGGCAUGCCUUACACAUGCAAGUCGAACGGUAACAGGUCUUCGGAUGCUGACGAGUGGCGAACGGGUGAGUAAUACAUCGGAACGUGCCCGAUCGUGGGGGAUAACGAAGCGAAAGCUUUGCUAAUACCGCAUAAGAUCUACGGAUGAAAGCAGGGGACCGCAAGGCCUUGCGCGAACGGAGCGGCCGAUGGCAGAUUAGGUAGUUGGUGGGAUAAAAGCUUACCAAGCCGACGAUCUGUAGCUGGUCUGAGAGGACGACCAGCCACACUGGGACUGAGACACGGCCCAGACUCCUACGGGAGGCAGCAGUGGGGAAUUUUGGACAAUGGGCGAAAGCCUGAUCCAGCCACGCCGCGUGCAGGAUGAAGGCCUUCGGGUUGUAAACUGCUUUUGUACGGAACGAAAAGACUCUGGUUAAUGCCUGGGGUCCAUGACGGUACCGUAAGAAUAAGCACCGGCUAACUACGUG